rnacentral:tRNA from 1 species
GGGGUUGUGGUCUAGUGGUAUGACAUCUUCUUAGCAUUGCUCAUCGAGCAGUUCUGAGUUGGAGAAGGUUCUGGGUUCGAUUCCCAGCUACUCCA